GUGACCCAUAUAUAUAUCUAUGACGUAUAUUUCAAACUUCGCUAUCGUGUUGAGAUGGCUAUUGCUGAUGAUACUGCUGAAGGAACAUUUGUUUGGUUUGAUGGUGUGAUGACGAAACUACAUAAUCUCAGAGCAAGUGAGGCUGUUCAGAUGCUGGCUGAAGAUGGAGUGAACCCUGACGACUCUAGGAUACCUUCGUUCAUUGCAGAUAUGGAAGGAAAGUCAUACACUUUCCAGUUGAGGGUCACUGCUUAUAACUUCACCAGCAAUCAUAAGACGUUCACCAUAACAUGAUAUAUGAAGCAAAGUUUCAGAAAGAAACAACAAUAUUGAUAUUCAGCAUUGUUGAUGAGCUUGGUCGUGUGCGAGACGAUGACGUGGAUGACAAUGGAGGUAACGAGGAUGAUGAUGACAACAUGCCUAAUGGCAAGCCAGCUCCUGUUGGGUUUGCAUCUGGAAGGGCCACUGGUAAUGGAUCAGAUGGGUCUAUACGGUACUGCACGUAAGAAUCCGGACGUCUCAUCCUCUAAGGUGGUCAAGAAGGCGCGUGUUGCUUAAGAUGUAGCAG